AACAAAACUUGCAACUUGUUCGGGGUGUCCAUCAUCCUUGUCCAAUGUGGUGCACCCAAAAAUGUGCAUCCACAUUACGUAUUUUACUUUGAAAGCCAUUAAUUUGUUGUAAUUAAAAUAUGUAUUUUUGGGUUAUUAGUCUUGAAAGCGGAACCUUCGACACUCCUACAACACCACCAGGUGGCUGAAGACGGGGCUACUUCCUGUUUCCGUCAGAAGUGCUCUGGAUGUGAGCUCUGAGACUUAUGACACAACAUUCUUUUCGUUACUGUGGUUGCCGCACUCAGGACCCGUAACACCAACAGUAGCUGGGUUGGAACCAGCAAACCUGUGAUCCUAAAAGGGAUAAACAGUUGGCCAUAAGGGGAGACAUCUUUGGAGGAACGUCCUGCAGUGACAAGGACAAGAUGCUGGGAAGCAUCGGCUGGACGAGCACCUGCAAACGGUUGGAACUCAUUUUUCAUUACAUAAUCGAUGGCAU